GGGCGGCGGGAGGAAGCGGCGGGAGUCGGGACUGCGGCGGAGCCGCUCCCACAGCGCCCUCUAAUGAAAGCGCCGCCGCCGCUGCCUGGCCCGCUUGCCCCGCCUGGCCCGCUCCCCCUACCCCUGCGCCAGCGAGUCGGGGCCCUCGGGGCUACCUGGACGCUCGGCCAGGACCUCAUCUUGUUUCAGGAAAGCAGCUGGAACAUUAAUGGCAAUUCCACUUUCCCAUUCAUCGCCCCCGCCCCCACCACCCCACCAAGAAACUCAGUGGGAAUGAAUGGUCUACACAGAGAAACUGAAAUCUGGUUAGUCAAGAAGGAAAAAACAACCAAGUGCCUGGCAUUAAGAGGAUUUUUUUUUUAAGCUCAGCCUAUGGACAACAAAAGCAUGGACUGUAUUUCUCAGCAUCUUUUGCAGGAUGAGGAAACUGGAGCCCAGGUAGCCAUUUUGGACCUGAAGGUGGAAGUCAAGCUAGGGAGAGCAAACAACACGUGUGUGGAUCCCUGAUGAUCAGGUCAUCCUAAUCCUGAACUGCUUUCCUCUGGUCUCUUUAACAGGAGAGACCAGAGGAAAACCAUGAGAGAGAGGUAAUUUUCUAUCCCACUUAAGCCACUAUUGUACUUUGGACUUUCUUGUCAUGUACAGCCAAGCCUAAUUAUAACUAAUAAAACAUGCAAUUGAAAGACAAAAAUGCAAGGGUUUAUGCAUCAGGUACCAUUCUGGUUGCAUCUCUUACAAACUCUAUGUGGUAAUGGAUUAGUUACCUAAUCUCUUUAAGCCUUUGUCUCCUCGCAUGUAAAAUAGGAAGAAUGUCCCUCAAGGGUGAUUGUGAGGUGCAAAUUAUAUUAAAUUUAUAAAGUAUUUAGCACAGUGCUGGUGCAUAGUAUACUCUUAAUAAAUGUACCUUUUCUAAUUAUAUACAAGGGCAGAUCAGCAGACCAGUAUGGGACACAGUGAUAUCUGUGGAAAUAUAC
rnacentral:lncRNA from 1 species